rnacentral:rRNA from 1 species
GAUGAACGCUAGUGGCAGGCCUAACACAUGCAAGUCGAGGGGUAGAAGGAGCUUGCUCCUUUGAGACCGGCGCACGGGUGCGUAACGCGUAUGCAACCUACCUUUUACAGAGGGAUAGCCCAGAGAAAUUUGGAUUAAUACCUCAUAGUAUAUAUCAUUCGCAUGUUUGGUAUAUUAAAGUUCCAACGGUAAAAGAUGAGCAUGCGUCCCAUUAGUUAGUUGGUAAGGUAACGGCUUACCAAGACGAUGAUGGGUAGGGGUCCUGAGAGGGAGAUCCCCCACACUGGUACUGAGACACGGACCAGACUCCUACGGGAGGCAGCAGUGAGGAAUAUUGGUCAAUGGACGCAAGUCUGAACCAGCCAUGCCGCGUGCAGGAAGACGGUCCUAUGGAUUGUAAACUGCUUUUGUUCGGGAAGAAACACUCCUACGUGUAGGAGCCUGACGGUACCGUAAGAAUAAGGAUCGGCUAACUCCGUGCCAGCCGCCGCCGUAAGAC